rnacentral:sRNA from 1 species
UCUCCCGCGGCCGCUCCCCCAGGCAUGGCACAGGGCCUCGCCUCACUAUGGCAGCAGCACGGCACAGCACGCUCGACUUCAUGCUCGGCGCCAAAGCUGAUGGUGAGACCAUUCUAAAAGGCCUCCAGUCCAUUUUCCAGGAGCAGGGGAUGGCGGAGUCGGUGCACACCUGGCAGGACCAUGGCUAUUUAGCAACCUACACAAACAAGAACGGCAGAUUUUGAACAAAGUAGAAGAAAGAAUGAAAGAAUUGAGUCAGGACAGUACUGGGCGGGUGAAACGAUUACCACCCAUAGUGCGAGGAGGAGCCAUCGACAGAUAUUGGCCCACCGCCGAUGGGCGCCUGGUUGAAUAUGACAUAGAUGAAGUGGUAUAUGACGAAGAUUCACCUUAUCAAAAUAUAAAAAUUCUACACUCGAAGCAGUUUGGAAAUAUUCUCAUCCUUAGUGGGGAUGUUAAUUUGGCAGAGAGUGAUUUGGCAUAUACCC